rnacentral:rRNA from 1 species
GACGAACGCUGGCGGCGUGCUUAACACAUGCAAGUCGAACGGAAAGGCCCUUCGGGGUACUCGAGUGGCGAACGGGUGAGUAACACGUGGGUGAUCUGCCCUGCACUUUGGGAUAAGCCUGGGAAACUGGGUCUAAUACCGAAUAGGACCACGCGCUUCAUGGUGUGUGGUGGAAAGCUUUUGCGGUGUGGGAUGGGCCCGCGGCCUAUCAGCUUGUUGGUGGGGUAAUGGCCUACCAAGGCGACGACGGGUAGCCGGCCUGAGAGGGUGACCGGCCACACUGGGACUGAGAUACGGCCCAGACUCCUACGGGAGGCAGCAGUGGGGAAUAUUGCACAAUGGGCACAAGCCUGAUGCAGCGACGCCGCGUGAGGGAUGACGGCCUUCGGGUUGUAAACCUCUUUCACCAGGGACGAGGCGUAAGUGACGGUACCUGGAGAAGAAGCACCGGCCAACUACGUG